rnacentral:misc_RNA from 1 species
GAUGAAGAACGCAGCGAAAUGCGAUAAGUAAUGUGAAUUGCAGAAUUCAGUGAAUCAUCGAAUCUUUGAACGCACAUUGCGCCCGCCAGCAUUCUGGCGGGCAUGCCUGUUCGAGCGUCAUUUCAACCCUCGACCUCCCCUUGGGGAGGUCGGCGUUGGGGACCGGCAGCACACCGCCGGCCCUGAAAUGGAGUGGCGGCCCGUCCGCGGCGACCUCUGCGUAGUAAUACAGCUCGCACCGGAACCCCGACGCGGCCACGCCGUAAAACACCCAACUUCUGAACGUUGACCUCGAAUCAGGUAGGACUACCCGCUGAACUUAAGCAUAUCAAUAAGCGGAGGA